rnacentral:rRNA from 1 species
UGGGGAAUUUUGGACAAUGGGCGCAAGCCUGAUCCAGCCAUUCCGCGUGAGUGAAGAAGGCCUUCGGGUUGUAAAGCUCUUUCGCAAGGGAAGAAAACUUACUCAAUAACACUGGGUGAGGCUGACGGUACCUUGAUAAGAAGCACCGGCUAACUACGUGCCAGCAGCCGCGGUAAUACGUAGGGUGCGAGCGUUAAUCGGAAUUACUGGGCGUAAAGCGUGCGCAGGCGGUUUUGUAAGUCAGAUGUGAAAUCCCCGGGCUCAACCUGGGAACUGCGUUUGAAACUACAAGGCUAGAGUGUAGCAGAGGGGGGUAGAAUUCCACGUGUAGCAGUGAAAUGCGUAGAGAUGUGGAGGAAUACCAAUGGCGAAGGCAGCCCCCUGGGUUAACACUGACGCUCAUGCACGAAAGCGUGGGGAGCAAA